rnacentral:rRNA from 1 species
GGAGGGUGCAGGCAUUAAUCGGAAUUAUUGGGCGUAAAGGGCGCGUAGGCGGAACUGUAAGUCAGAUGUGAAAUACCGAAGCUCAACUUCGGUGCUGCAUUUGAAACUACAGAUCUAGAGGAUAGACGGAGAAAACGGAAUUCCACAUGUAGCGGUGAAAUGCGUGGAUAUGUGGAAGAACACCUGUGGCGAAAGCGGUUUUCUAGUUUAUUCCUGACGCUGAGGCGCGAGAGCAAGGGGGGGAGCGAACAGGAUUAGAUACCCUGGUAGUCCUUGCCGUAAACGAUGUAUACUUGAUGUAGUUGGACUCAACCCCGACUGUGUCGUAGCUAACGCGAUAAGUAUACCCGCCUGAGGAGUACGCUCGCAAGGGUG